AUAUCACCUUGUUGCUUUGUCUUUAAGUGGUCAUGUGAUUGGCUUACCACGACUACUUUAUUCUUCCUCAGUCAAACAGCAGCACUCAUGCGAUUGUUUUGCCCCCUGAGCUCCGGGUGUUGUGCUGUACAGUGCUCGUGAUUAGCGUCCGCGGGAGCGCGCGCAGCUGCUUAAAGCUGUAGCGUCCAGAAGAUGCGUGGGACAUGUCUUUGGUUGGUGGGAGGAAGCUCGCCGCGGAGUCGUCCGCUGCACAGCAGCAAUCGCCGCGGGGGAGAGGUGUUUCCACACCGCAGCCACAGAGUUCCACUACUUGCCGCUUAGCUCACCCGCCUCCUGCUGGGCGGCAAUGUGGUCGCAGGAUGAGGACGAGGACGUCAUUUCUCCAUUGUCACCAGUUUCUCCUGUCGCCUCAGCCCCCUCAUCCAGCAGGAAGCGGUGCCUCCGCCAUCAUUCCACACUACAGCCGGAGCCCAGCCACUGGUCAGAACAGCAGGCAGUGGUGAGUGAUGUUGACUGUACCCCUAUUGCUUCACCUGUAAAUAGUAAUGGGGACUGUUUUUCUCUCACCGCUGAGAGUAGUGAGGUGAAGGCGGUUCGUUCUAUGGACAUUCACUCCGGCCCAGUAGAAAGAAUAGACUUUCUGACUGAUUGUGACAUUUUUUCUGUUAAAAAGUCAGAAUGUAUGGACAAGACUCUGUGCACAUAGAAUUCUUUCCCCCAAAGACUCAGAGCCGACCAAUAAAUGUUAAGACAGAACUUAUCUAGAGGAACAUCAGCUGGCAGAAUACACCGGGCGCCUGUCCACAGUGCUGGAGGACAGGCGGCAUGCUCACUGAAUACAUCAGCAGCUAGAAGGAGGCGCUCGUGACAGAUGCAACAGUCAUCAGCAAAACAAGCCCCUAGGAAACGAUGUAUGAAUGCUUGUGUUCAUCUCAUUAUUAAUGAGAGCCUGAAGCUUUGUGACGCCGUGAUUCGAGUAGACGAUGAAUUUCAAGUCCACAAGAUAAUCCUGUGUAACUGUAGCCGAUAUUUCAGGGUCCUUCCUUCUGAGAUGUGAGGUCGAGGUCGGGCAGGAUAUGACCAAUGGAGCCGGGACACCACUCUGCAGGAGAAAGGAGAAAGAAAUUAACAUGUAAUUUAUCCUAAAAGCAAUGGUGUACUGACCUGAUUUUAUUUAUUGUAGGUACAGUGGGAUAUUCUCCUACAUUCACUACUCUCAAAUCCAGUGUCCAAUAAGUGACACAGUAUUGGAUAUUUUUGAUAUGGGAUGCAUCGACACACCAGACAGGUACUUAGUACCUUCCAUCCAUCCUUCCAAGCCCCAAGAUGGUGCUAAAAUGUCUCCUAACAGUCUGCUAUGGGUUUAUGAGUGCACUAAAGAAAUUACAUGCAGUUCUGCAGAUGUUUUUUUUUUCUGUUCAGGUUGUUUGUCUUAUGAAAUCCUUCAACAGUUAAACCAAAAUUUUAAAUGUUAAAUAAAAAAAUAGUUUAAUGACAAAGAGUUUGAUCCAUGAUGUCAUUUCCUGUAUAUCAAACCAAAAACUGACGUGACAAAUGUUCUCUGUGACACAGAUGGAGGUUUAUCAGA